rnacentral:misc_RNA from 1 species
GAUGAAGAACGCAGCGAAAUGCGAUACUUGGUGUGAAUUGCAGAAUCCCGUGAACCAUCGAGUCUUUGAACGCAAGUUGCGCCCGAAGCCAUUAGGCCGAGGGCACGCCUGCCUGGGCGUCACACGUCGUUGCCCCCCCAUCUACUCCUUCGGGAUUGCGGGGGGCGGAUGAUGGCCUCCCGUGCGCCUCGUCGCGCGGUUGGCGUAAAUGCCAAGUCCUCGGCGACGCACGCCACGACAAUCGGUGGUUGCGAAACCUCGGUUGCCCGUCGUGUGCGGUCGUCGCGCAUCGAGGGCUCGAAAAAAUUGCCGGGCUCCGGCUCGGCUUUCAACGCGACCCCAGGUCAGGCGGGGUUACCCGCUGAAUUUAAGCAUAUCAAUAAGCGGAGGA